rnacentral:rRNA from 1 species
CCUACGGGAGGCAGCAGUAGGGAAUCUUCCACAAUGGGCGAAAGCCUGAUGGAGCAACGCCGCGUGGGUGAAGAAGGUCUUCGGAUCGUAAAACCCUGUUGUUAGAGAAGAAAGUGCGUGAGAGUAACUGUUCACGUUUCGACGGUAUCUAACCAGAAAGCCACGGCUAACUACGUGCCAGCAGCCGCGGUAAUACGUAGGUGGCAAGCGUUAUCCGGAUUUAUUGGGCGUAAAGGGAACGCAGGCGGUCUUUUAAGUCUGAUGUGAAAGCCUUCGGCUUAACCGGAGUAGUGCAUUGGAAACUGGGAGACUUGAGUGCGGAAGAGGAGAGUGGAACUCCAUGUGUAGCGGUGAAAUGCGUAGAUAUAAGGAAGAACACCAGUGGCGAAAGCGGCUCACUGGUCUGUAACUGACGCUGAGGUUCGAAAGCGUGGGUAGCAAACAGGAUUAGAUACCCCUGUAGUC